AUACGGAGGGGGUUAGCGUUGUUCGGAAUUACUGGGCGUAAAGCGCACGUAGGCGGACUGGAAAGUUGGGGGUGAAAUCCCGGGGCUCAACCCCGGAACUGCCUCCAAAACUUCCAAUCUAGAGAUCGAGAGAGGUGAGUGGAAUUCCAAGUGUAGAGGUGAAAUUCGUAGAUAUUUGGAGGAACACCAGUGGCGAAGGCGGCUCACUGGCUCGGUACUGACGCUGAGGUGCGAAAGCGUGGGGAGCAAACAGGAUUAGAUACCCCAGUAGUCC
rnacentral:rRNA from 1 species